GACGAACGCUGGCGGCGUGCUUAACACAUGCAAGUCGAACGGAAAGGCCCUGCUUUUGUGGGGUGCUCGAGUGGCGAACGGGUGAGUAACACGUGAGUAACCUGCCCUUGACUUUGGGAUAACUUCAGGAAACUGGGGCUAAUACCGGAUAGGAGCUCCUGCUGCAAGGUGGGGGUUGGAAAGUUUCGGCGGUUGGGGAUGGACUCGCGGCUUAUCAGCUUGUUGGUGGGGUAGUGGCUUACCAAGGCUUUGACGGGUAGCCGGCCUGAGAGGGUGACUGGCCACAUUGGUACUGAGAGACGGCCCAGACUCCUACGGGGGGCAACAGUGGGGAAUAUUGCACAAUGGGCGGAAGCCUGAUGCAGCAACGCCGCGUGCGGGAUGACGGCCUUUGGGUGGUAAACCGCUUUCGCCUGUGACGAAGCGUGAGUGACGGUAAUGGGUAAGGAAGCACCGGCUAACUACGUG
rnacentral:rRNA from 1 species